GAAAUGCGAUAAGUAGUGUGAAUUGCAGAUACCGUGAAUCAUCAAAUCUUUGAACGCACAUUGCACUGUCUGGAAUUCCGGGCAGUAUACCUGUUUGAGUAUCAGUAACAACUCUUGCCCAUUUGGCACCUCGACAGGGGUGGCAGUGGGCGAGGACUUGAGUGGAUGCUGUAACAAGCGCUACUUUAAAUACAUUUGCUAGGCCAGCACUGAGGUGCGGCGGCUGACAGAGUUAAUGGGCACCUAGUGCCUGUCGCUGUCGUGCCGUCAGCACUUUGCUCUUGGCGCUACUGGCAACUAGCUAAUUCGUUAGCACCAUGCAGUGCACUUGGUUAAAUCCAGGUGCGGCUGUGACUUUGAUCUCAAAUCAGGCAAGAUUACCCGCUGAACUUAA
rnacentral:misc_RNA from 1 species